rnacentral:rRNA from 1 species
AGAGUUUGAUCCUGGCUCAGAACGAACGCUGGCGGCAGGCUUAACACAUGCAAGUCGAGCGCCCCGCAAGGGGAGCGGCAGACGGGUGAGUAACGCGUGGGAAUCUACCGUGCCCUACGGAAUAGCUCCGGGAAACUGGAAUUAAUACCGUAUACGCCCUUCGGGGGAAAGAUUUAUCGGGGUAUGAUGAGCCCGCGUUGGAUUAGCUAGUUGGUGGGGUAAAGGCCUACCAAGGCGACGAUCCAUAGCUGGUCUGAGAGGAUGAUCAGCCACAUUGGGACUGAGACACGGCCCAAACUCCUACGGGAGGCAGCAGUGGGGAAUAUUGGACAAUGGGCGCAAGCCUGAUCCAGCCAUGCCGCGUGAGUGAUGAAGGCCCUAGGGUUGUAAAGCUCUUUCACCGGUGAAGAUAAUGACGGUAACCGGAGAAGAAGCCCCGGCUAACUUCGUGCCAGCAGCCGCGGUAAUACGAAGGGGGCUAGCGUUGUUCGGAAUUACUGGGCGUAAAGCGCACGUAGGCGGAUAUUUAAGUCAGGGGUGAAAUCCCAGAGCUCAACUCUGGAACUGCCUUUGAUACUGGGUAUCUCGAGUAUGGAAGAGGUGAGUGGAAUUCCGAGUGUAGAGGUGAAAUUCGUAGAUAUUCGGAGGAACACCAGUGGCGAAGGCGGCUCACUGGUCCAUUACUGACGCUGA